GACGUAGGGCGCAAGCGUUGUCCGGAUUUAUUGGGCGUAAAGAGCUCGUAGGCGGCUUGCCACGUCUGCCGUGAAAACCAGCAGCUUAACUGUUGGCUUGCGGUUGAUACGGGUUGGCUGGAGUUCGGUAGGGGAGACUGGAAUUCCUGGUGUAGCGGUGAAAUGCGCAGAUAUCAGGAGGAACACCAGUGGCGAAGGCGGUUACCUGGAGCUUUGCUGACGCUGAUGCGCGAAAGCGUGGGGAGCGAUCCGG
rnacentral:rRNA from 1 species